rnacentral:tRNA from 6 species
GCGGAAGUGGUGGAACUGGCAGACACACCAUCUUGAGGGGGUGGCGCCGAAAGGCGUGGGGGUUCAAAUCCCCCCUUCCGCACCA